rnacentral:rRNA from 1 species
GACAGAGGGUGCAAACGUUGUUCGGAAUUACUGGGCGUAAAGCGCGUGUAGGCGGCCCUGCAAGUCGGAUGUGAAAUCCCACGGCUCAACCGUGGAAGUGCAUUCGAAACUGCAGGGCUAGAGUCCUGGAGAGGAAGGUGGAAUGCUUGGUGUAGAGGUGAAAUUCGUAGAUAUCAAGCGGAACACCGGUGGCGAAGGCGGCCUUCUGGACAGCGACUGACGCUGAGACGCGAAAGCGUGGGGAGCAAACAGG